rnacentral:misc_RNA from 1 species
UUACCCCUCAAGCCUCUAGCUUAGUGUUAAACGGUUUAGCCUUAGUAACGAGGCCCGUUUUAAAAUUAAUAACGGCGGCCUAUUUAACCCCCGGUACACUAAGCUUUCUAACUAAGCACGUAUCGGUUAAAGGGUUGGCAGGACCCAGUCUUCUUCCUUAACCGGAAACUCUUUCCAA